rnacentral:rRNA from 1 species
UACGUAGGGGGCUAGCGUUGUCCGGAUUUAUUGGGCGUAAAGAGCGUGUAGGCGGCCAGGUAGGUCCGUUGUGAAAACUCGAGGCUCAACCUCGAGACGUCGGCGGAAACCCUCUGGCUAGAGUCCGGAAGAGGAGAGUGGAAUUCCAUGUGUAGCGGUGAAAUGCGUAGAGAUAUGGAGGAACACCAGUGGCGAAGGCGACUUUCUGGUCUGUAACUGACACUGAGGCGCGAAAGCGUGGGGAGCAAACAGG